UACGUAGGGACCGAGCGUUGUCCGGAAUCAUUGGGCGUAAAGAGCGUGUAGGCGGCUUGUUAAGUCUUGCGUGAAAUCUCGGGGCUCAACCCCGAGCGGUCGUGAGAAACUGGCAGGCUAGAGUGCGGGAGAGGAGAGUGGAAUUCCUGGUGUAGCGGUGAAAUGCGUAGAUAUCGGGAGGAACACCUGUGGCGAAAGCGGCUUACUAGACGACAACUGACGCUGAGGCGCGAAAGCUAGGGGAGCAAACAGG
rnacentral:rRNA from 1 species